UAGGGAAUAUUGCUCAAUGGGGGAAAGCCUGACCCAGCAACGCCGCGUGAAGGAUGAAGUAUUUCGGUAUGUAAACUUCGAAAGAAUAGGAAGAAUAAAUGACGGUACUAUUUAUAAGGUCCGGCUAACUACGUGCCAGCAGCCGCGGUAAUACGUAGGGACCAAGCGUUGUUCGGAUUUACUGGGCGUAAAGGGCGCGUAGGCGGCAAUUCAAGUCAUCUGUGAAAUCUCCGGGCUUAACUCGGAACGGUCAGAUGAUACUGCUUUGCUAGAGUGCAGAAGGGGCAAUCGGAAUUCUUGGUGUAGCGGUGAAAUGCGUAGAUAUCAAGAGGAACACCUGAGGUGAAGACGGGUUGCUGGGCUGACACUGACGCUGAGGCGCGAAAGCCAGGGGAGCAAACGGGAUUAGAUACCCCUGUAGUCCCUGAGCGGGCUGGCAAGGCGCAU
rnacentral:rRNA from 1 species